ensembl:lncRNA
AUGGCAACUGUUGUGACUGUAUGGCAUGCGCUGCAACCGUUGGCACCAAGGCUCUCCAGUUCAACCAUUUUCAACCUUUCCCACACCCUGCUGCAGAUUUAUGCACUGUCACACCUGGCAGCUGCCAAGCACUCCGGUAAUCUUUUACGCUUGGCUACUAAACGCACAUCAGAAGCAGUCUGGACUUCAGAAUCGUGCUCAGGGCGAUCUUGGUGGGCCUACUCCAGAGUGAGAGGAAGCUGUACUGCUACAGAGGAACACAGAGGCCCCACUCCAGACCAGAAAGGCUUUUUUCUGGGGACCCUGUUGAAAGCAGUCAUUUUCCAGAGCCCUGGGUUAACCUUGGGCUACAAUGAAGCUCUUUCCGGCUCCAGAUAAAUGCACACCCAUAAGAGGAGCCCUCCCACCAUUAAACGGGUUCCUGCUCUCUUCUCUGUCCCCCCUCUUUUUUCCUCCUCCUCACUCCUUCACGUCCCUGUUUUUCCUCGAGGGUCAGAUCAGCACAGUGCUUUCAGGAAUUCAAGGAACCGGAUAGAGCCUGGACAUGCAGGUGCAAGAGCUUUGGUUCCAGCAACUGUAUGGUACAAGAGGAGGUGGGUAAUAAGGUGCCAAGAGGCGGAAUGCAGGAAGGGAAUGACGGAAGAAGACAAAGACAAAGCAUAGGCCAGAUCGUGUAUGUUUGGGAGUCAGUAACCCUAACUUUGUUACAUCAUGGGAUAAUAUAAUUUGCUAAAAACCAUGUCUGUUUUUUAAUCGAGUGCUUUACACACCAAUCUUGCAUCUCACCCAAUCUUCCUGACAGUUUUGUCCCAAAUUAAGAGAUAAGACGCCACACAGCUAAUCUACAUAAUGCAAUCAAAUCUCAACUCAAAGUCCACUUACUGACUUUUUCUGGAGCUUUUAUCAAUAUGUCACAGCCUUCCUCGGUGGAUAGAAGUCAUCAUUAUCUACUAUAAAGCUCUGUAUUUUAUUUUUUAUUUUGACUUAACUAUAUAGUCUAUCAAACAUAUAGUAUUGGUAGACAAAAUGUGAAAAAAAGGAAAUAAUAACAACAAUAAUACAUGUAUCCUAAUUUUAAAUCACAUCGUAGAACUUCUGUUCGUUCCCUGUGCCUUCAUGCUAACAUGACGCGUUGGAUUUGUAGUCAAUCUUAUGUUACUGUAAGACAGUUGUGUUUUACAAAGUUGGCAGGGAGCUUUACUUUAAUACAUGAGUUAACUUGAAUUUCCCUCGGGAUAAAUAAAGUAUCUAUCCAUCUAACUAUUUGGUACACAUUUCAAAAUGAUUCCUCGCAUUACUUCUAAGAUGAAUUAGUGUAAGCAUUAUUUGUAAGCACAGCUCGUUAUAAAGUUUACUCAAGUUUUGCGUUAUGAAAGAGGACAAAAGUAGCAGAGUUUACAACAGGCAUGCAACAGGUCAGACUAACUGAAUUUUAAGAAUGCCUGCUGACACUGUAAUUGUUUUUAAUUAAGGCAAAUCUUUAAAGAUCAGAUAUUACAUUUUUUCCUGCUUUUGAAUAACAGUGUGAAUAUCUAUCACAAAGUCCAAUAUGUACAAGCAUGUACAAAAAGACAUCAUUGCAGAGGAUUGUGGUUUCAUAGUCUGAGGCAACCAGCAGCCUACAGCAAGGCUACAGUCUACACUGUAAAAGCAGUAUGGUGGAAAAUAGAGGAAAAAGGUCAUGAAGGACAAAAGAAGAAUAGGGGGACAAAGGGAGGAGGAAGAGGAGGGAAAGCCUGCUAGGGCUAAUUAGAGCGAUAAUAGGGGGCCAAAGCACGCAGAGGCAACUGGAAGGGGUCGACGUGAUGAGGAGAGUGGUAGAUGGAGAAGA